rnacentral:lncRNA from 1 species
GAACUUAUCUGAACUAUGGACCAUUUGGAUUUGACCGUCCGAUCUUUUAAAAUUUUGAUUUUUACUAUCAGACCUUUCAAUUUGUUUGACUCGAAUUAGUCGACGAUGCUUUCACUUUAAAAUUUAAACUAAUUACUUACUUUAAUAAACUUGUAGUUGUGAGAACUCUAUGAAAUAUACUAACUAAAUAUACAAAGAUAAAUGAUUUACGACACGUUUUUACCUAAUAAUA